rnacentral:rRNA from 1 species
GAUGAACGCUGGCGGCGUGCCUAAUACAUGCAAGUCGAGCGAACGGACGAUAAGCUUGCUUCUCUGAUGUUAGCGGCGGACGGGUGAGUAACACGUGGAUAACCUACCUCUUAUACUUGGAUAACUUCGUGAAACCGGAGCUACUACCACAUGAUAUUUUCAACCGCAUGGUUCAAAAGUGAAAGACGGUCUUGCUGUCACUUAUAGCUGGAUCCGCGCUGCAUUAGCUAGUUGGUAAGGUAACGGCUUACCAAGGCAACGAUGCAUAGCUGACCUGAGAGGGUGAUCGGCCACACUGGAACUGAGACACGGUCCAGACUCCUACGGGAGGCAGCAGUAGGGAAUCUUCCGCAAUGGGCGAAAGCCUGAUGGAGCAACGCCGCGUGAGUGAUGAAGGUCUUCGGAUUGUAAAACUCUGUUAUUAGGGAAGAACAUAUGUGUAAGUAACUGUGCAUAUCUUGACGGUACCUAAACAGAAAGCAACGGCUAACUACGUG